rnacentral:rRNA from 1 species
GACGAACGCUGGCGGCGUGCCUAAUACAUGCAAGUAGAACGCUGAAGCGAGGAGCUUGCUCUUCUUGGAUGAGUUGCGAACGGGUGAGUAACGCGUAGGUAACCUGCCUGGUAGCGGGGGAUAACUAUUGGAAACGAUAGCUAAUACCGCAUAAAAUUGAUUAUUGCAUGAUAAUUAAUUGAAAGAUGCAACUGCAUCACUACCAGAUGGACCUGCGUUGUAUUAGCUAGUUGGUGAGGUAACGGCUCACCAAGGCGACGAUACAUAGCCGACCUGAGAGGGUGAUCGGCCACACUGGGACUGAGACACGGCCCAGACUCCUACGGGAGGCAGCAGUAGGGAAUCUUCGGCAAUGGGGGGAACCCUGACCGAGCAACGCCGCGUGAGUGAAGAAGGGUUUCGGAUCGUAAAGCUCUGUUGUAAGAGAAGAACGGGUGUGAGAGUGGAAAGUUCACACUGUGACGGUACCUUACCAGAAAGGGACGGCUAACUACGUG